CGCGUAGGUGGGAUAAUAAGUCUUUUGUAAAAGUGCGGGGCUCAGCCCCGUAAUGCGGGAGAAACUGUUAUUCUUGAGUGCAGGAGAGGAAAGCGGAAUUCCCAGUGUAGCGGUGAAAUGCGUAGAUAUUGGGAGGAACACCAGUGGCGAAGGCGGCUUUCUGGACUGUGUCUGACACUGAGGCGCGAAAGCCAGGGGAGCGAACGGGAUUAGAUACCCCGGUAGUCCUGGCCGUAAACGAUGGGUACUAGGUGUAGGGGGUAUCGACCCUCCUGUGCCGGAGUUAACGCAAUAAGUACCCCGCCUGGGAGUACGGCCGCAAGGUUGAA
rnacentral:rRNA from 1 species